AUACGUAGAGAGCAAGCGUUGUCCGGAAUCAUUGGGCGUAAAGGGUACGCAGGCGGAUAUAUAAGUCAAAUGUGAAAGUUCAUGGCUCAACCAUGAGAUUGCGUUUGAAACUGUAUAUCUUGAGUACAGCAGAGGGGAUCGGAAUUCCUGGUGGAGCGGUGAAAUGCGUAGAUAUCAGGAAGAACACCAGUGGCGAAGGCGGAUCUCUGGGCUGUAACUGACGCUGAGGUACGAAAGCCAGGGUAGCGAACGGGAUUAGAUACCCCGGUAGUCCUGGCAGUAAACGAUGGACACUAGGUGUUGGAGGUUCGAAUCCAUCAGUGCCGCAGUUAACGCAUUAAGUGUCCCGCCUGGGGACUACGGUCGCAAGACUGAA
rnacentral:rRNA from 1 species